rnacentral:rRNA from 1 species
GGGGGAUAUUGCGCAAUGGGGGCAACCCCGACGCAGCAACGCCGCGUGAAGGAUGAAGGUUUUCGGAUUGUAAACUUCUUUUAUUAAGGACGAAAAAUGACGGUACUUAAUGAAUAAGCUCCGGCUAACUACGUGCCAGCAGCCGCGGUAAUACGUAGGGAGCAAGCGUUGUCCGGAUUUACUGGGUGUAAAGGGUGCGUAGGCGGCUUUGCAAGUCAGAUGUGAAAUCUAUGGGCUCAACCCAUAAACUGCAUUUGAAACUGUAGAGCUUGAGUGAAGUAGAGGCAGGCGGAAUUCCCCGUGUAGCGGUGAAAUGCGUAGAGAUGGGGAGGAACACCAGUGGCGAAGGCGGCCUGCUGGGCUUUAACUGACGCUGAGGCACGAAAGCGUGGGUAGCAAACAGGAUUAGAUACCCUGGUAGUCCACGCUGUAAACGAUGAUUACUAGGUGUGGGGGGUCUGACCCCUUCCGUGCCGGAGUUAACACAAUAAGUAAUCCACCUGGGGAGUACGGCCGCAAGGUUGAAACUCAAAGGAAUUGACGGGGGCCCGCACAAGCAGUGGAGUAUGUGGUUUAAUUCGAAGCAACGCGAAGAACCUUACCAGGUCUUGACAUCCAACUAACGAAGUAGAGAUACAUUAGGUGCCCUUCGGGGAAAGUUGAGACAGGUGGUGCAUGGUUGUCGUCAGCUCGUGUCGUGAGAUGUUGGGUUAAGUCCCGCAACGAGCGCAACCCUUGCUAUUAGUUGCUACGCAAGAGCACUCUAAUAGGACUGCCGUUGACAAAACGGAGGAAGGUGGGGACGACGUCAAAUCAUCAUGCCCCUUAUGACCUGGGCUACACACGUACUACAAUGGAUGUUAACAGAGGGAAGCAAGACAGCGAUGUGGAGCAAACCCCUAAAAACAUUCUCAGUUCAGAUUGCAGGCUGCAACCCGCCUGCAUGAAGAUGGAAUUGCUAGUAAUCGCGGAUCAGCAUGCCGCGGUGAAUACGUUCCCG